AUGCAAUGCAGCUCACUAAAUUCGAAGCUGUACUAUUUUGGACUACCUAGUUACCCAAGCAGGGGAGAUAAAGGAUGGAAGUUGGGUAGAAAGCGGCAUGAUUCUUGGCAAUACUCUUUACUUGGCCAACGACCUCACCCUGGGAGUCCACUUCUUUACGGUCACUACAUCUGCCUUGACAAAUUAUCUGGAGUUGAGCUCCAGAGACGAAUGGGGAGGUGGACUUUGCUGGAGUUAUCAUGUGUUCUUGCAAUCAGAAUGCCUGGGGAUUAUAAGCCAAUAUACGAUUUGUUCAUUUUCUUUUAG
rnacentral:rRNA from 1 species